rnacentral:misc_RNA from 2 species
AAGUCGUAACAAGGUCUCCGUUGGUGAACCAGCGGAGGGAUCAUUACCGAGUCUUUACAACUCAUAACCCUUUGUGAACCAUUAUACCUAGUUGCUUCGGCGGCGCGCCUCCGGGCGUGCCCGCCGGCCAAUUAUAGUCUCUUAGUUGUGAAUCGACGUUACAUCUGAGUGUUCUAAGCGAACUGUUAAAACUUUCAACAACGGAUCUCUUGGCUCCA